ACAAGUACCGUGAGGAAAGUUGAAAAGUACUUUGAAAAGAGAGUGCAAGAGAACGUGAAACCGGUGUAAUGGAAGCGAAUGGAGCCGACGUAUCUAGUGCGUAUUCAGCCUUUCGUUCGGUCGAUUGGGAGCAGUGUAUUUCCGCAAGGUGUGCCUGCUUUCUAUGUCGGUUGUUCGGUUGGUGCAUUUGCGUACGGAGUGCGCCGGGUUGUGUGGUGUCGUCGUGCGAAGCCUGUUUAGAGGACCCGAAUCUCGGUUUGGGAACCCUGAGCGGGUGGAGUUCGGUUGGUGCUGCGCAGCUUUGUGGAGACGUGGGUUUUUCGCGUGCUGCGGUGUCGGUUGGUCUGGUUUGGUUGGUACACAUGUGUGCCGGCCUUCUCGGGCCGGUCGGUGUUGUGGUGUGCUCUGCGUUCUUCCCGGUGUAUAGUCGGUGACCCAUUCGACCCGUCUUGAAACACGGACCAAGGAGUUUAUGGUAUGCGCAAGUCAUUGGGUUUGUCGAAGCCUAAAGGCGUAAUGAAAGUGAGACAUUACUUGUCUGAACGUGACUGGGUGCGGCAUUCGUGCGGCCCAAGCAACGUUGCCCCGUUUCGUGGACUUGUCCUGAUGCGGAGGUUGAGCGUAUGCUAUGAGACCCGAAAGAUGGUGAACUAUGCCUGAACAGGACGAAGCCAGAGGAAACUCUGGUGGAAGUCCGAAGCGGUUCUGACGUGCAAAUCGAUCGUCUGAUUUUGGUAUAGGGGCGCAAGACUAAUCGAACCAUCUAGUAGUCUGGUUCCUUCCGA
rnacentral:rRNA from 1 species